GACGAACGCUGGCGGCGUGCUUAACACAUGCAAGUCGAACGGAAAGGCCCUGCUUUUGUGGGGUGCACGAGUGGCGAGCGGGUGAGUAACACGUGAGUAACCUGCCCUUGACUUUGGGAUAACUUCAGGAAACUGGGGCUAAAACAGGAUAGGAGCUCUUGCUGCAUGGUGGGGGUUGGAAAGUUUCGGCGGUUGGGGAUGGACUAGCGGCUUAUCCGCUUGUUGGUGGGGUAGUGGCUUACCAAGGCUUUGAAGGGUAGCCCGCCUGAGAGGGUGACCGGCCACAAUGCGACUGAGAUACGGCCCAGACUGCUACGGGAGGCAGCAGGGGGGAAUAUUGCACAAUGGGCGGAAGCCUGAUGCAGCAACGCCGCGUGCGGGAUGACGGCCUUCGGGUUGUAAACCGCUUUCGCCUGUGACGAAGCGUGAGUGACGGUAAUGGGUAAAGAAGCACCGGCUAACUACGUG
rnacentral:rRNA from 1 species